rnacentral:rRNA from 1 species
UAACCUACGGGACGCAGCAGUGGGGAAUAUUGCACAAUGGGGGAAACCCUGAUGCAGCAACGCCGCGUGAGUGAAGAAGUAUUUCGGUAUGUAAAGCUCUAUCAGCAGGGAAGAAAAUGACGGUACCUGAGUAAGAAGCCCCGGCUAACUACGUGCCAGCAGCCGCGGUAAUACGUAGGGGGCAAGCGUUAUCCGGAUUUACUGGGUGUAAAGGGAGCGUAGACGGCGGAACAAGUCAGAAGUGAAAACCCGGGGCUCAACCCUGGGAGUGCUUUUGAAACUGUUUUUCUUGAGUGAAGUAGAGG